AUCCCUUUCCGGUUUAUAAGUAUGGUGAUUGGGUGUUCACAUGCUUGUGUGACAUGUGCUUCCCUUAAAUCUUGUUAUGCACUUGACACAUUACCCAUCUGAUG